GCCGUCUUAGCUCAGGGGUAGAGCGCGUGACUUUUAAUCACGUGGCCGUGGGUUCGAUCCCCACAGACGGCG
rnacentral:tRNA from 1 species